CGACCCCAGGUCAGGCGGGACUACCCGCUGAGUUUAAGCAUAUCAAUAAGCGGAGGAGAAGAAACUUACAAGGAUUCCCCUAGUAACGGCGAGCGAACCGGGAUCAGCCCAGCUUGAGAAUCGAGCGGCACCGUCGUUCGAAUUGUAGUCUGUAGAAGCGUCCUCAGCGACGGACCGGGCCCAAGUCCCCUGGAAGGGGGCGCCAGAG
rnacentral:rRNA from 1 species